rnacentral:tRNA from 1 species
UGGGGAAUAGCCAAACGGCAAGGCAACGGGUUUUGGUCCCGUGACUGGAGGUUCGAAUCCUCCUUCCCCAGCCA